rnacentral:tRNA from 6 species
GCCGCCAUAGUUCAAUGGAUAGAACGAGGGACUCCUAAGCCCUAAAUGCAGGUUCGAUUCCUGCUGGUGGCA